GCUUGACAACUAGCAGGCUCGAGUACCAGACUCCCUGUUAGCUUGUUUAUUCAACCUUUGUGUUUCUUUUGACGACUCAGCGUCCGGUUAGCGUGUGCUUGUUUGGAGUCUGACGUAAGUCCAGUGAUUGGCAGUCGGUUUCCUGUGUUUGGUUGUGUGCUUGGAGUCUGACGUAAGUCCAGCGAUUGGCAGUCGGUUUCCUGUGUGUUUGUUUGUUUGGAGUCUGACGUAAGUCCAGCGAUUGGCAGUUGGUUUCCUUGUUUGCGUUUGUUGGUUGGAGUCGGACGCAAGACCAGCUAUUGGCAGUCCGUUUCCAAUUGUGUGUUUGCUCUGAUGUCUAAGCGUCUGUGCGUGUGUUUUGUU
rnacentral:lncRNA from 1 species